GCUGGGUGUGGUGAUUCAUGCCUGUAAUCCCAGCUACUUCGGAGGCUGAGGCAGGAGAAUUGCUUGAACCCAGGAGGUGCAGGUUUCAGUGAGCCAAGAUGGUGCACUGCACUCCAGCCUGGGUAACAGAGCAAGACUCUGUCUCAA
rnacentral:SRP_RNA from 1 species